rnacentral:lncRNA from 13 species
GCCUUCUUUAGACUAGUUGAGUAUUUUAGUAUGCCUCAUUUUUUUCCUUGAGCCCCCACACCAGACAAUUUCUUUCCUCGAGGCCCCCACACUGAACAAUUAAUUGUGUUGAGGCCCCGUUAUUAUCCAGAUAAUAAUCAUCCCCCCCCCCAAAAAAAAAAAAAAAAAAAACGAAGUUAGACAGGCCCUCUGGGCUAAAAAUGGACCAGCCCAUGCCAGAUGGCCAGUCUGCCCCUGACCGGUCCCCAAUACAACUUGUUCUCCAAUUUUAUUUGAAUAUCCUGCAUGAAAUACUUGCUUGGAGAGGGGAGCUGACUCCCACUAGCCUAGUCUGUCACAUGCGUGAUGCAGAGGUGUGCGGACCUUAGAGGGUUUCAUUGGCUUGGAUCGCGAGGGUGGGCGGGGAGCUGUGGUGUGUUUGCGCGCGAGCUCUUCUUGAAUGAGAGAAGGUGGAGAGGUUGCCACAGAUGCUUUUAGAGAGAGAUAUUCAAAACAAUUCAGCUAGUGAUAUAUUCAUGAAAUAUACAUAUUUGUCUCAGAACUGAAGUGAUUUUGCCUUCAGUGAUUUAUAAGUGAGAGGUUUUGAGUGAAAGGGAAACCUUUGACUUUACCAAAAAUGCAUAGCACCGUUGGAUGUUUCCGCCUCCCCAUCCAAUCAACCUGAGGACGCAUUUAUUUACCAGUAAUACAUUGUUCGACGUUAAUUGAUUUAAACAGUUUAGGACUUUCUGAUAUUGAAGGAAAAUGUUGCUCUGGGUGGUGAAGUGGACAUGUUGUCUACUAGUGCUCUUCAAAAUCAGCGCUGCCUCUGUUGACGCUGGACGCACAGACUCUCCUGGCGAGUCAGGGUCGGGGAUGCUACCAACAGAAGAGGUGAACCUUCUAGAAGAACUCUCGCUGCAGGUGUCCAACAGCAGCAAUGCCUCCAUGUCUCUGGAUGCUGAGAGGUGUCCGGUGCUGCAGGUGGGACAGUACUCCACCCUGGCCCUGCCCCUAGCUGAACUCUUCACUGACGGGUUUGCAGAUGAGUUCAGCCUAUUGGUGCAGCUGCGGAGCCCUCAGCUAGACGAACACAGUGUGCUCACCCUGCUUAGCCACGACAGCCACAUCCUGCUGCAGCUGCGCAUCAGCGCGUACACACUCACCUUCAUCGGCACGCAACAGCGCCUCUAUGAGUAAGCCUGUCUCUGUCUGUCUGCCUAUCUUUAUGUGUGUGUGUGUGUGUGUGUGUGUGUAUUUGUGUACAUGCAUGUGUGUUUUGACUCAGGGUGAAGCGAUUUAAGGUCUGUUUUUCCUAAAGCCUAGUGACAGGUUGCUUGCUCCUCUCUUCAUAAGCCACUGUGGUUUGAAGCAAUACAUCACUGUAAGAAAGCCAACAGACUUAGCUCGAAGAUGGACAGAGUCGUUUUGUUAACUUUUUUAGGUACUUUUAGAGUGCAUGAGAUUUAUAUUUGAAGUGUUACUGUAUUUCAUUCAACUGUCAUGGAAGUUAAACCUUUUUGAGAGAAACUACAAUUGCAGGGCCAACAUUCAGUACACACUUCACAUUAUAGCCAAAACAAUACAUAACAGUGACAUACACUUCCUUCUCAGUAAUGUUUGCCAUACUGUAUGAUAUUACCAAUUGCAUUGUUUUGACCGGAUUCCCAGGUUCCCGGUCAGUAGUCUGUCUGACGACCAGUGGCACCAUGUGGCUGUGAGUGUGUCAUCCGCUAGACUGGCGCUGUAUGUGGAUUGUGCCCUGGUGGAGCGUGUGGACUGGGUGUACCAGGGUAUGGGAAUCACCCCUGACGGUCUACUCAUGGUGGGGGGCAUCGUAGAGGGCUUCGAGACACCAUUUGAGGUAAGUUCUGGACUUACCGUUCCACCUCUUGAUUUCCUCUCCUCACCAGUUCCAUUCUCCUUUCCUCUGUCCUCUCCCUUUCUCCUCCCCUCUUUUCUCAUUUCCUCUACUCUCUCCAACCCUCUUCCUCUUCACUUCCCCCUCUCCUGCCUGUUUUCAUACACACAAGAGGAGGUCUCUGCCUAAAUCAUUGUGCAAUAUAUCAGCAGCACAAUAUGCAACAUAGGCUAUACAGCUUUACCGCCUGCUGUGCUGAGCGUGUCCCUAACGGAGUGUCCUUGGUGUUGAAUGGUGGGUUACUUAUCAUAGAAAAGCAGUACCGGUCUGCAGGAUGUAGGUACUGUCAAACUUUGUAGCCCAGUAACACUGUGGAUCAGCACACUGUAUAGGAAACCAAUGGUCUAGUUAGCCCCCUACACGGGAGAGGUUUAGGGAGACGGGAUGGGGGCUCCUGUAGAUCAUCUCAUCGGCCCCCGCUCCCACCACCAUCCCCCCUCCCCAGGACAUAUGAAGACAUCCCUUUGCUGUCCAAGGCAGCAGCCAGUGCCAGUGUUUUUGAAGGAUGAGCGUUAGAGCGUACAGUACGAGUGCAGAGCAGCAGGGGGGUGGAGAGGAGAGGAGGAGAGCAGGACAGGACAGGACAGACAGCAUCUGGCUUUGUGCUCAGCUCAGCCUAGAGUUAAGAUGGAUUCUCCAUCGCCUCGUUUCCCACUGUUGACAGGUCUCUUUGACGACCCCUCAGAGGAUCGAGCUUCCUCUCUCGGAGGUGGUGACAGUCUUUUCCCGCUAGGGUCCUCUGUACUGGAACUUUAACACCUCCAUUCUUCAGUAGAGCACUUAAGGACGACCAGGGGAGGAAAACACCUUCUCCUGUCUGUGUCUUGUGUUUAUUGUCAGUCGAUCUAUUUCCUGUCCACAGUUACAGCACAAUGAAGACUGCUAUACUGUAGAUGCGGCCUCUGCUAGUGGCUUUCAAAUCAGUUUUACAGUAUUUUUUUGUUUAAGGACAAGACACACUGUAAUGAACUUUGGCCAUCCGCAGUAGAUCACCUGCUGGGUGUCUACGAACGGUGGCGAUUCAACAUGUAGAAGAAAAUGGCGUCUGAUGUUCCGUGGUCAGAGGCGGUAGGACGGCUGCUGCUUUUAACCAUUCAUCAGCAUGGUGUGUUUCUUCCCUUAGGUCUGUGAAAACACCACAGUGUCUAAAUGGCACAGGGCUUGGUGAGACUUAACACUGACCUUGCUACCUCUCUAGGUUUACGCCCAUCCCGUACUAAAAGAGGAUUAGUCUACCGGAAGAGGAGUUGAUUGGUUUUGGAUGAGAAGAUGAGAUAUGGAGUCAUGCUGAAGGAGCAGGUUUUGCGAGUGGAUAAGGAGAGUGCUCGUCUAGGUGGUAUAGUGAGUGUAUAAGGAGAGUGCUAGUCUAGGUGGUAUAGUGAGUGGAUAAGGAAGAGUGCUAGUCUAGGUGGUAAAGUGAGUAGAUAAGGAGAAUGCUAAUCUGGGUGGUAAAGUGGGUGG